AGUCCAUAUAAUAGGAAAUUCAGGAGAACGGAUGAGUGAUUUAGUUCUUAAAAGUGGUUAAUUACAGAAUUACGAUUAGAAUUUAGAGAAUCAGGGGAAAGUAUAUAGGAGUUGUAGAAGUUAAUUAAGGUGCCAUCAUUGUGAUAGUAUGAGAGGGGGUAAGCUUGGUGCUACCUCUUUUCUUUUGUUUGUUAUUUUCUUUGAAUAAGAAGAUUGAGAGUUUUUGAAUAUUGUCAAGUGAAUUAUGGAAUGGAAAUGUGAUUGGUAUUAUUUGAGAAGAAGAAAGAUUGAAUGCUGAAAUCUGAUUGUAAUUCAACAGAGAGAAUGAGUCUGUAUUUGUGUGAAAUAUUGUAAUGUGAAUGGCAGUUUUGUGUGAAGAAUUCUAGUGAUUGGAAUGAGGAUAAUUGUGUGCUGAAAGCUGUGAAGGCAUAGUAUUACAGUUGGAGAUUAUGACGGUGAAUAUAUUGGUGGAAAUAGCAGUUAUUGGUAUGACUGAAUUGCUGUAAGGAAGAGACCAAUAAGGUGAAGGAGGAGAUUAUAGUUUCUUUGUGUGUUCAGAUAUUGGAAAUAG
rnacentral:lncRNA from 1 species